rnacentral:rRNA from 1 species
GAUCAGUAGCCGACCUGAGAGGGUGACCGGCCACAUUGGGGGACUUGGAGACACGGGCCCAAACUCCUACGGGAGGCAGACAGUGGGGAAUAUUGCACAAUGGGGGAAACCCUGAAUGCAAGGCCGAAACCGGCCCCGGCGUGAAGGAUGAAGUAUUUCGGUAUGUAAACUUCUAUCAGCAGGGAAGAAAAUGACGGUACCUGACUAAGAAGCCCCGGCUAACUACGUGCCAGCAGCCGCGGUAAUACGUAGGGGGCAAGCGUUAUCCGGAUUUACUGGGUGUAAAGGGAGCGUAGACGGCUGUGCAAGUUUGAAGUGAAAGGCAAGGGCUCAACCUUUGGACUGCUUUGAAAACUGUGCAGCUAGAGUGUCGGAGAGGUAAGUGGAAUUCCUAGUGUAGCGGUGAAAUGCGUAGAUAUUAGGAGGAACACCAGUGGCGAA